rnacentral:rRNA from 1 species
AGUGAGGAAGGUGGGUAUGUUAAUAGCAUACUCAUUUGACGUUAGCUGCAGAAGAAGCACCGGCUAACUCCGUGCCAGCAGCCGCGGUAAUACGGAGGGUGCGAGCGUUAAUCGGUAAUUACUGGGCGUAAAGCGCAUGCAGGUGGUUUGUUAAGUCAGAUGUGAAAGCCCGGGGCUCAACCUCGGAAUUGCAUUUGAAACUGGCAAACUAGAGUACUGUAGAGGGGGUAGAAUUUCAGGUGUAGCGGUGAAAUGCGUAGAGAUCUGAAGGAAUACCGGUGGCGAAGGCGGCCCCCUGGACAGAUACUGACACUCAGAUGCGAAAGCGUGGGGAGCAAACAGGAUUAGAUACCCUGGUAG